rnacentral:lncRNA from 1 species
UUUUAAGGCCCUUUUUUUGCUUUUCUCCAGAUGCAAAGGGAAGGGACUGGGAAAAGUGAGAUAAAAGAAUAUAGUGUUCAAAGCCUUUGAAAUCAGGCAGAAUUUGAAUCUGAAUUUAAUUCCCAGCUUUCCUGUCUAGAAAACGGAGAUCUCGGGCAAUGCAGUGAGCCCUGUUGGGUCUCGCUUUUCUUCAGCAUGACGCAGAAGAUAACAGUUGGUCCCUGGCAUGGUUGAGGAGUGACACUGGGGAUUCCAGACUCUGGGGGAACUUGGGCUAGUCAAAUCUGCAGAUGCUAAGGACUGAAUUCAGGAACGGCUGUUAGACUUGUAUUAGCUUGGUUCCAGCAGCUGUGUCAUGUUGUCUGCCUCAAGCUGCUGGCCUGGAGAGGAUUCUGAGGCCAUGGCUGGCUGCUGAACGAGGCCUGGAUGGACCCACAAAGCAGGAAAAGUGCUGCAAGACUGGCUGGGAAGACACUGAAUUGGAACGUGCAGGGAGGAUGGACCCAGUACUGCGUGCCCCCAGCCCCACAAAUGCAUCUAGUUUGGCCUCUACUACCGCACAAAAUUGGGACUUGGAGAGCUGGUUCCCUUGAGAGUUGGAAAGUGUGAGAGAAGUCAUCAAAAUCUCUCACGGGUGGCAAGUUUCAGAACUGGUGGAAACAAGAGGGUGAACAUAUCCUGUCCAGCUUCUCACUACAGGAAGCACAUGGCAGCCUGGGGCCUCUGCUCACCAGCUCAAAACGAAACUGUCCUUGUCUUCUGGACCUGAGCCUGCAGUAUUAAAUUUGCAGCUUGCUGUCAAAACCAGGAAUGGUAUUUUUUAAAACCAGAAGGCAUGAAAUGAAGAAAACUACAAGUUAUUUAACUAUUGAACCAGUAAGGAUACUUUCAAUGACUUAACUUCUCUGUGCCUUAGUUUUGUCAUUUAUAAGGAAAACAAUGGCAACACCCUUUUAUAUUCGUUCAUUCCACAUUUAUAUAAUGAACUUACUGUGUAGGUUUUAUAGGAUCUAUGGGGAGAAGUACAAGGUCACCUGAAUUAUAGUAGAGUGAGUUGCUAUCUUUAAGUGAGAUAAUGCAAAUAAAAUCUGGGAGUAGAAACUGCUAAUGAUCGUCAGUAGCCAGCCAUGUCUCUUCUUUCCAGGAACACAGCUACACCACAUUUCUCAGACUCCUUUGCUGCUAGAUACGGUCAUGUGAUUUCAUCCUGGCCAAUGAAAUAUGAGCAGAAGUAUAAGUAUCUUUUCCAGGGCUGGCCCAUGCCUCAUCUUCAUUUUCUUCCCCCAUCAGCUAAAUGAUGGGGAGGACUUGGAGUCAAGAGAAAAGUCCAGUCACCAGAGAGAAGCAGCCUCAGUCUCUGAAAGACUGUAUGGAGCCCACUGCCUUGUCAACCAGAACUAGGCUAUAAUAAGAGCAAUAAAUAUACUAUUGCUGUAUUAAGUCACCGAAGUUUGAGGGUUUAUUGUUACAAC